GAGCACCUCUCCCUCCACCCACUCGGCCNCCACGUGGCAGCUGAGCGAGGGCCUCGGGGCAGCUC
rfam:Oryza barthii chromosome 3, whole genome shotgun sequence.